rnacentral:rRNA from 1 species
UACAGAGGGUGCGAGCGUUGUUCGGAAUCAUUGGGCGUAAAGGGCGUGUAGGCGGUUUGUUAAGUCAUGUGUGAAAUCCCUCGGCUCAACCGGGGAAGGACGCAUGAAACUGGCAAGCUAGAGUACCAAAGAGGGGGGUGGAAUUCCCGGUGUAGAGGUGAAAUUCGUAGAUAUCGGGAGGAACACCAGUGGCGAAGGCGGCGAUCUGGGAAGAUACUGACGCUGAGGUGCGAAAGCGUGGGGAGCAAACAGG